AGUGAACGCUGGCGGCAGGCCUAACACAUGCAAGUCGAACGGAAGAACGGUGCUUGCUUGUGGUUUCAGCGGGGGACUGGUGUGUAAUUCAUGUGAAUCUCCUGCGCUUUUCUUUAGAAUGUCUUCAAGCAGGUGCUAAUACCCCAUUAUCGCAGAGCCACCAAGUGGGUGAGCGUUGGACCUUACGCUCUCACGUGAGUGUAGGUGGGAUUAGCUAGUUGGUGGGUUAAAGGGCUACCAAGGCAACGAUCCGUAGCUGGGCGGAGAGGAUGAUCAGUCACACUGGAACUGAGACACGGUCCAGACUCCUACGGGAGGCAGCAGUGGGGAAUAUUGGACAAUGGGCGAAAGCCUGAUCCAGCCAUCCCGAGUGUGUGGAGAAGGCCUUCGGAUUGUAAAGCCCUUUUGGUUGGGAGGAACAGCAGUAGGUUAAUACCUUGCUGUUUUGACGUUACCAACAGAAUAAGCACCGGCUAACUUCGUG
rnacentral:rRNA from 1 species